rnacentral:sRNA from 1 species
CUUACUAGGCUGUAAAGUGGGAUUUACUGGCUGGGACUGUGAGACACACUGCUCGAACUGUAUUGAAGAAGACCAGUCAUGUGACCAAAAGACCAGGUUUUGUUUAUUUGGAUGUAGACCUGGCUAUUAUGAAGACGACUGCUCCAAUUUUUGUGAAACUUGUGGAGGCACUGGGGAAUGCGGUAGAAAGAGAGGGGAGUGUCUCGACGGAUGCAAGGAAGGAUUCCGUGGACCACUGUGUAGAGGUAUUGGCACCUCAUGUACAA